GCCAGGAAGUUGAGAGCUGGAGAGGGUUGCAGGAGGAGCUCUGCAGUCACUCUCUAGAGAGAAAGGGAGGUGGCUAGGGACAAGGAGGAGUUCUAGGUGGCAACCCCUGGGAUCCUGCCCUGGGCUAUAGAGUCUGGGCUGCCCGGCACUGCCCCCAUAGAGACCUGGGGUGAGGUAGCAACGUUCACGCAUUUUUCAGGGAGAGAAAAAGUUCUAUAUAAAGAAUGAAGUGGACUUUGCCAAGAGGCGUCGUGCUCCAAAGGAAGGGCACGGUCCUGCCCCUAUUGCAGUACAGACUGUGAAGGGGAAACUUCCCUGCGGUACGCUUUGCUGCUUGCCUGGCUCCUGGGGCAGUUGGGUUCAGUGCCCUGGCCUGGCGUUUGAGGGCAUGCUGUCCUGGGGCCACAGGCUCUACCGUUCUGCCUAGGGAGUAUUUUUCUGUGGGUCAUGGGUCCUGCAUCCCUCUAACAAGUGUCUUCCACGCUGGGGCCCAGGCUCUUAGCCCUGGGCCAGUCCCUACCCAGGAUAGCUCAGCAGGCAGGGGGUGGGAAGGGUUAAGAGAGCCCCAAGGUGAAGUACAGGGAGGCAUGGAAACAGGGCAGCUUUUUUGAACCCAAUUCCUUUCCUGCGCGGCUUUGGCACGCGUUUGGCGGGGAGACGCCAGCAGGGGCUUACGGCGGCACGCAGACAGGACUGCCAGAUGUCCGCACUAAUCACCCCCACCCCUGAGAGCUCCCCUUUGGUGCCCUGGGUGCAGGACGUGCCCACGGGUUGCCUCAGUGACUGAGGGCUUCCCCGGGCAGGUGCCAUGCCCAUUGGUUGCCCGAGCGCCUGAGAGGAUCUGGGAGCACAGCCGAUGCCCAUUGGCUGCCACGGUGACUGACGGGUUAUCAGAGCAUCGAAGCCCAGGCUGCUAGUUGCCGUAGCAACAACAGUUGUAAAGGAAAACAAGGGGCCUGGUGCCCUCCCUGCACAGGCGGCUGCAGACCUGCCAACAGUCUCGGGUUUCGUGGGGUUGUCCCGUUCUGACCCCCCCGAGCGCCCUGUCCUGGUUGAAGUGACCAUUUCCCCCAUGCAGGGCUGACUGGGGGUGGGGAGCAGUUUGCCCCAGUCACCCCAUUUGAGAGGGCCCCCAAACUGGAUGGCAUGGUGCACAGGGUCGCAGCACCAGUCAGGUUAGGCCAGGCCACCCCGUUGUCUCCAUCUACGGAGGGGAUGAGACAAAGCUGCGUGAUGCUGUGCCCUUAGCCCGUGGGAAUGCUGGGAGAUCGGGGUGGGCUGCGAGUUCUUGGUGGCCUUGCCCCACUCGGGGCUGGGGAGUCCCAGACACCUGCUCUCGCAGGGCGUGGAGCGUACAGCAGCCCAGAGCGGCUGGUGCCACGGGCUCCCAAGCAGCAUGUGGUGUGGUUUUGUCCCCCAGACUCAGAGGCAGAAAGACCCAUGUGCAGGUGAUGUUGGUUAGAUAAGCCAGGUGGUGCGAAAGGGGGGCAUCAUACGGUAUGAGGGAGACACCGCCUGGAAGUGGGGGAGGGAGCAGAGCCAGAGGGGGGCACAGGCUGGGUCCUGGAAAUCUGGGGUAUCUGCUGCUGUUCUCGGUGCCAGCUCUCUAAAGCUCAUCCUGCACAGGCAGAUCAGGCCAGAGCACAAGCCACCUCUACCCUGCCAGCACAGCCAUCUCGAAGGCCAUGUGAUAGGGCUAAUUGAUAUGCAAAUAUAUUCAGCAUUAUUUUAAUUAACAUGCUAAUUAGCAUUUUCUAAACCUUGCACACAGGCCUGGGUGCAAAGUCAUCCCUUGUAACAGUAAAUAACCCAGCACAUGGACAACGCCAGGGAGCCCUGUGCCCCAGAUUUACAGAUGGGUUUUAUGGAGUGAUGGCUCCGAGCAGGUGCCUCACAGACUGCCCCCAGCUGGCAUUCUGGAGUAAGCGGUGUAAACACAAGCUGUCCCCUGGCACCUGCUUGAUGCCCACCAGGGCAACGUCCAGUUUUAAAAAUAAGAGGGCUUCUGAUGGAGGUGGCAGCAGGUCACUGCUACCUGGUUCCUCCUGCAGACGGCAGGCAACAAGAGAGCUACAGAGAUGGAGCUGUCACCCAGAGCAAACUGGCAAGUCCUGCUCAUGGGACUGCAGAGCUGGAGCCAUUGUUCUGGGUUGUGUGGGAGUCCUGCUCACUGGACUGGGGGGAACCGGAGCUGGUGCCGGCAUGCUGGCGCACACUAGGGAAAUGAACUUCGUUCCUUGGGGAGCAGGAGCAAUAUCGAGAUGGUGCUGUUAGACCAGAGCUUUAGGGGGAUCUUUUGCUCAGGUGCAUGGUGCUGCGUGCAAGGGACGAUGCUGAAAUGCUCUGGGAUUCUCGCUCUCCAAACCUGCAGCGUGCAGGAGCAUUUCAGUGAAGCUGAAGGGGCUCAGUCCUGUGAUUUGGUGGUGUAGACGCGUGCCUGCUAAGAACCAGACCAGGGACCUACAACUCAAACAGCCUUCAGGUAACUGCCAGCUGCUCCUGACCUACAGUGGAGUAGAACAGGUGGCCUGGUGAUGAAAUACCAUCACUCAUUAACAGCCCCUGGGCCCUUCCCUUCAUUUACAACCCCCUUUUACCUCCCCAGAAAGCCAGCCCGCAGAGAGCUGCUCUGCCACUGGACUAGCACCAUUGCUGUUCAGAGCCAGCCCCUGCAAGCAGGAAGGCUCUCCGAGAAGGUGCAUCCCCUCCGAGGUGGGAAAGGGAGCAGCCUCUAAACUAGAGAUAAAGUGGCAGCGGGCUGGCGUGAGCCUGCUUCGAGAUGCCCACAGGCAGCUCUGAAAUGAUCUGCCUUCCACCAGCUGGGCUGAGGGCACCUUGAACCAGCUUCUCUCUGAUGCUGAGCUCAGCCCCCCUGUCAAGCGUGGGUGCCAGUCAUGCCCAGCGAAGCCGGUGCAGACACCACAGCUAGUUGGACUGAACGCUCAGCCACGUCCCUGGGAGCUGGUUGGGUUACGUGGGAGGCUGCACCUGCUUGGGGUGUGAGGAAGGGUUUCUAGAAGCCAGAAGGAAAGGAUUCCCCUGGCUCCUGGGGAGGGUUCUGGCAGCUGGGAAGUGGAUUGGGUGAGAACCCUAGUCCAGGAGAGAGGGAGGGGAUUGGCAUCAUCAGGAGAGGGGGCCAGUGUUUUCCCUGGAGGAGGCUGGCGCCUGGGAGGGGGAGACAGGUCACAGUGCUCCUUGGAGAGCUCAAGAGCGACCUGCAGCCGAGGAGGCUAGAACCCACAGGCUUUAUUCAGACCAGUGCAGCUGCCACCAUGUCUGUGUGAAUGCACCAGAUCCUGCUGCUGCUGGCAUAGCUGGGUGGGGACUGGAUGUGACGCAGUCCUGCUGGGUGUCUGGAAAUGGGAUGCUGCGUGGUAGCCAGUCCCAAGAUAAGCCUGUGGAGCGGGGGGUAAACCUGUGAGACACCUGCUUACCAGGCUUUCGAACCCAGGACACAAUUACAGUGCUCUGAUUGGCUGUCGGUGGUGUGACCCAGCGGCCAGUGGAUACCCAGGCCCUGCCCUCGCGUCCCCUCCACCAUGCCAUUUCCACCCACGCUGUGCAACCCGCUCCUCAGGGAGGCACCUUAAAGGGACUGUUACACUCAGAAAAAUGUCUGUAAAAACAGCCCCCUCUUAUUCCGGGCACUACGUCAAUAAGCCCAAUAGAACGGACCACCCCCAGGUAGCUGCUUCCUCCCUUUGCCCGGAGUCCUGAUGGCUUAACCUACUGGCACAACUACAGUUUAACCCCUGGCGUCACCACUGGGCUGAUCCAGGCAGGAAGGAGCAGGCUGGGUUCUGUUCUACCUCCUGCCUCAUCAAGAAAAUGACCAGCUGAGACCUGCUCUCCUGGCCUGUAGUGGAGUGGUUGGUGCAUCUGUACAAAGAACCCGUGGUGCUAGUGUGGAGAGCUGGCUUUGGAGGAAAUCUUGCUUUAAACUUACUCUGGGCCGCCCUGCUAGCGAGUGACCCUCCGGCAGCCCGCUGGCUUGUUUACAAAGCGCCGUAAUCCUCGGGGCCUCUGCAGAACCUCCUCUCCCAGCAUCUGACAACCAGUAAUUGACCCUCUGGGAGCUGGGUCCAUGCUAAAGAUGGAGACACCAACAGACAGAGCGACUCUCUUCAAGGAUCAUGCGGUGAACACGGGGCAGACCUGGGAAUGGAACCCAGGAGUCCUGCUUCCCACACCUUUUAAAGUCACUUGAGUAUUAGCCUUGUUCCAUAGAGCCCUGCGUGGCCCAUUCACAUGACCUGUCCUCAUGCCUUGGACCCAAAGAAACCACUCAGGUUCUGUUUGGGUUGGAUCCGCUCCUGAGGGGUGAGAUCAGGUUCCAUUUGGGCCAGGUCCAGAUGGCAGGCUCUGCCCUGGAGUCAGAAACCCUAUAGUGAUGGGCCUGUAACCUGGGGAGAGAGACUGGAUGGCACCUGACUGGUCUUUUCUAUCUUUAAUCCCACUCUCCUCUGAGCAGCAGGAUGAGCUAAGCACAGGGCCACCCCAGGGGCUGGAUCUCCUGCCUUGCCUGGCUGGGGGACUCUGCCAUAACAUUAGCAUCGUCUUCCAUAUUCCAGUUUCUCUCCUCCCCCACCCCGCCCCCACGCAAACCAGUGAGUGCCACGGUACCCCCAGGAGGGGAGAGCACGGCUCUGAAGCAGGGGCUGCUGCCAGCCCAGCCAGGGGCUGCAAUCCUGCCCCACCCCGUUUCAGCAAGAGGUCUGUGGGCACUUGCGUGUGAAAUGACAGAGUCGACAGGAACAAGGUGCUGCGGUUCCAGCCAGUUGUGUCUGCCGAUCUCGCCUGUGAUCGCGCACGCACGUGGGCAGACUGGAGACGCAAGCAGGGCUGCGCCCAGACUGGGGCAGCUGGACUAUGCAAGCCACAGGGCGGUGGGCACAGCAGGGCACCUGAUCUUUGUGAGAGGAAGGGCAGGUGGGAGAAACACCUGAGGAUAGACAUGACAAGGGCUCCGCUCAGCACCAAUCCCAGAGGCCAGAGUGCAGGAUCCACACAGAGCCCACGCUGGCAGGAGUGUGGAGAGGCUGCGACUCAGGGGUGGGGCAGUGCCCAGGCCAGGCCCCCUGCCUGCUUGUUGGCUUGUUCUGAGCAGGUAGAGGGGACAGGUGCUGGGUUUCUCCAUUCUGAACCGAGGAACGCCACCUCCUGCCUGGCCCUCUGCCUUCCACGCUGGCCACCUCAUUCAUGGAGGGCAGGGCCCAUUCCCUCCUGCUCUGCCUCUGAAGCUGCCCCAGCCAUGCACCCACAGCCUCCCCUGGCUGGGAGAGAGGGAUGCGCUGCUCACCUUCAACCCACAAAGACCCCGUGGUACUAGUGAGGAGCUUCAGGGGCCAGCUUCUUCAGGGCAAACUCCUCACCCAUCUGACAACAGGUCACUAGCAACGGGGGGUCUGGCACAACCAUCCUGUAGGAGCAUCAGACAGCCUGGGGAGAGCUCUCCAGGCCAGGGGUGCACGGUACCUGGCUCUCUGAAGAGCAAUUUUUCUAAACCUUGGCACUAUCUGGUGUUCCCUUGAUCUGCCUGUCUCCUGGGGUUUGGGGUGUGCCAUUAGCAAGCCCCCAGCAGUCCCGAGGGAGCGUUGCGUGCAUUGUACAGAAGGGGAAGCUGGAGGCACAGACUGCAAUUUUCAGUGACCCCUCGGGGGUUCAGGUGCCCAAUUCCCAUGAAGGAGGGGGGACGGAGUAUCCAACCUCCCUAUGCAGCUCCGGAAAACCUCUGCUCCAGGGAAGCUGCAUCUGCACCGUGGGUCAGUGGCAGGGUCAGGGACUCCAGCCACCCCAGAGCUCAGACCACGAGGCGUCUCUCCCACCGAGGGCCAGCGGGAGGAUCGCAAUCAGCCUUUCAGCUCAUGGGGCCAGGGGCCCAGCACAAGCCAUGUCUUCCUCACACCAAGCUGCAGGGUAUCCUGUGGGGCCUCCCUCUGUCUCCCUGCGCCCUCCUGAGCUAUGCCCCAAAUGCCAGGAGGGGGCCUGACCCUC